rnacentral:rRNA from 1 species
GCUGGGGGACUCUAAAGGAACUGCCUACGCAAGUAGUGAGGAAGGCGGGGAUGACGUCAAAUCAGCACGGCCCUUACGUCCAGGGCUACACACGUGCUACAAUGGCCGAUACAGAGGGCAGCUACCUGGUGACAGGAUGCAAAUCUCCAAAGUCGGUCUCAGUUCGGAUCGGAGUCUGCAACCCGACUCCGUGAAGUUGGAUUCGCUAGUAAUCGCGCAUCAGCCAUGGCGCGGUGAAUACGUUCCCGGGCCUU